rnacentral:lncRNA from 1 species
GUCCUAUAUAAGUUAUAAAUAAAGUUGAAUUCUUUGAUUCGCUGUUUUACGUCAUGCCCGCUAACAAAUUGAAAACUGUACCUAUACGCCUUAUUUUUAGUCCAGAUUUUAAGUAUUCGUAUUGUUAUCUUAGAAAGUCUUACUGAUUAAAAUACUACAAUAGGUAACAAUUCGACAAUUUAGUAGUGUCAACCCUGUGAUUAUGACCCGUGUAUAUAGCAUAUUAAUCCUGAAUACACCGUUUGUUGGUGCGCCUGUCAGAUGCGGAACGUACAGAUAAGGUAAUAGGUAACAGGUGAAUAUACUAUUGGUAUCGGUAUCGGACUCGACCCAGAACUUCUUAAUUAUUGGCGAUAUUAAUUACGUGGAAAACAAAAGGGCCUGGAGUGGUGUAAUUUUUAAUCUACACCUUUGUACUAUAUUAGUUAUAUAUAAAGUUGAAUUCUUUGAUUCGUCGUUUUUACGUGAUGACGGCUGACAAAUUGGACCUCGUAAUUUUAGUAUUAUAGAUGCAUC